UUGGAAACAAAUUUGAGGAUUUACAACAUUUGUUUCAAUGGGAGUGUGGGUGUGGUGCGGCCCACCCUGACCGUCCUCCCCCCCUCCAGAGAGCAGCUGCAGCAGGGCAGUGCCACACUGGUGUGUCUGUCCAGCGGGGGCUUCCCCUCAGCCUGGAGGCUGGACUGGAAGGUGGGGGGACGCAGCAGCUCCUCAGGGGUGUCACACGGCGCGGAGGUCCUGGGGAGGGACGGCCACUACAGCCGGAGCAGCACCCUGAGCCUCUCUGCAGACCAGUGGAGGAAGGUGGGCUCAGUGAGCUGUGAGGCCAGUCUGAGUGGACAGACCCCUGUCACUCAAACCCUGGACCCUGACCGCUGCUCAGAGUAGAGCUUCAGCAACACUUCCUGUCUGGAAAUGAUGCUUCUUUUUCUUUGCUAGAGAUCUUGAUGAAGCUACAGAUCUUCUCUGUUCAGCUGUUUCUGCAAGUUUCACAUCUCUCUACUCAGUGUUUUAAUGUGCAUGUUGCUUUCUAAUACUGAUCUUCCUUAUAUUCUGCUUUAUGUUCAUUACUUUUCAAAUGAAACUUAAUAUUCUGAGUUUCACUCCAAGAGAAACUAUUCAUACAUGUAAAGUGUGAAAUGAACAUUGAACCAUUAUUCAAUAAAACUGUUGAGUAUAAUGA